AGAGUUUGAUCAUGGCUCAGAUUGAACGCUGGCGGCAGGCCUAACACAUGCAAGUCGAGCGGUAGCACAGAGAGCUUGCUCUCGGGUGACGAGCGGCGGACGGGUGAGUAAUGUCUGGGAAACUGCCUGAUGGAGGGGGAUAACUACUGGAAACGGUAGCUAAUACCGCAUAAUGUCGCAAGACCAAAGUGGGGGACCUUCGGGCCUCAUGCCAUCAGAUGUGCCCAGAUGGGAUUAGCUAGUAGGUGGGGUAACGGCUCACCUAGGCGACGAUCCCUAGCUGGUCUGAGAGGAUGACCAGCCACACUGGAACUGAGACACGGUCCAGACUCCUACGGGAGGCAGCAGUGGGGAAUAUUGCACAAUGGGCGCAAGCCUGAUGCAGCCAUGCCGCGUGUGUGAAGAAGGCCUUCGGGUUGUAAAGCACUUUCAGCGGGGAGGAAGGCGAUAAGGUUAAUAACCUUGUCGAUUGACGUUACCCGCAGAAGAAGCACCGGCUAACUCCGUGCCAGCAGCCGCGGUAAUACGGAGGGUGCAAGCGUUAAUCGGAAUUACUGGGCGUAAAGCGCACGCAGGCGGUCUGUCAAGUCGGAUGUGAAAUCCCCGGGCUUAACCUGGGAACUGCAUUCGAAACUGGCAGGCUAGAGUCUUGUAGAGGGGGGUAGAAUUCCAGGUGUAGCGGUGAAAUGCGUAGAGAUCUGGAGGAAUACCGGUGGCGAAGGCGGCCCCCUGGACAAAGACUGACGCUCAGGUGCGAAAGCGUGGGGAGCAAACAGGAUUAGAUACCCUGGUAGUCCACGCCGUAAACGAUGUCGAUUUGGAGGUUGUGCCCUUGAGGCGUGGCUUCCGGAGCUAACGCGUUAAAUCGACCGCCUGGGGAGUACGGCCGCAAGGUUAAAACUCAAAUGAAUUGACGGGGGCCCGCACAAGCGGUGGAGCAUGUGGUUUAAUUCGAUGCAACGCGAAGAACCUUACCUGGUCUUGACAUCCACAGAACUUUCCAGAGAUGGAUUGGUGCCUUCGGGAACUGUGAGACAGGUGCUGCAUGGCUGUCGUCAGCUCGUGUUGUGAAAUGUUGGGUUAAGUCCCGCAACGAGCGCAACCCUUAUCCUUUGUUGCCAGCGGUCAGGCCGGGAACUCAAAGGAGACUGCCAGUGAUAAACUGGAGGAAGGUGGGGAUGACGUCAAGUCAUCAUGGCCCUUACGACCAGGGCUACACACGUGCUACAAUGGCAUAUACAAAGAGAAGCGACCUCGCGAGAGCAAGCGGACCUCAUAAAGUAUGUCGUAGUCCGGAUUGGAGUCUGCAACUCGACUCCAUGAAGUCGGAAUCGCUAGUAAUCGUAGAUCAGAAUGCUACGGUGAAUACGUUCCCGGGCCUUGUACACACCGCCCGUCACACCAUGGGAGUGGGUUGCAAAAGAAGUAGGUAGCUUAACCUUCGGGAGGGCGCUUACCACUUUGUGAUUCAUGACUGGGGUGAAGUCGUAACAAGGUAACCGUAGGGGAACCUGCGGUUGGAUCACCU
rnacentral:rRNA from 1 species